AUACGUAUGUCGCAAGCGUUAUCCGGAUUUAUUGGGCGUAAAGCGCGUCUAGGCGGCUUAGUAAGUCUGAUGUGAAAAUGCGGGGCUCAACCCCGUAUUGCGUUGGAAACUGCUAAACUAGAGUACUGGAGAGGUAGGCGGAACUACAAGUGUAGAGGUGAAAUUCGUAGAUAUUUGUAGGAAUGCCGAUGGGGAAGCCAGCCUACUGGACAGAUACUGACGCUAAAGCGCGAAAGCGUGGGUAGCAAACAGGAUUAGAUACCCUGGUAGUCCACGCCGUAAACGAUGAUUACUAGGUGUUGGGGGUCGAACCUCAGCGCCCAAGCUAACGCGAUAAGUAAUCCGCCUGGGGAGUACGUACGCAAGUAUGAAACUCAAAUGAAUUGACGGG
rnacentral:rRNA from 1 species